rnacentral:lncRNA from 1 species
GGAUUCCCCACACCCAUCGGUCCAUCUCCAUUCCAAACAGCCAAAGUGUAACAGAGAACGAGGGAAACACAAAUAAAGAGACGAUACCAUCCUUCCAAAUCCCUUUCUCUUUGGUUUCAUUCUCACCUCCAUCGCCGGUGAGUUUCGCUGGAAAACAGCAAAAAUUAACCCCCAUAACCUGUCAGUUACCAUUUGAUUCUCUGAGUUUUAGAACUACUAGUUACACAAAGGUUCAGUUCAUUUUCAAUCAGAAUUCGUGGAGGCAAGUUGCUCGAUUUUGUUUUGAAGUCGAGCAUUGCAGUCCAAAGUCAAAAAAUUGAGUCGAGAAUUCCGUUGUAACCGAGUUCGAGGAGGUUUGGUCAAGCUUCCGUUGAGGUCUUGUACGCUGUUUUGUUGGUGCUUUAACUUCAAAAUUUGCCAAGGAAUCGAAGCUCAGAUGCAUCUAUAAAAGGUUUUUUUUUUGUUCUUAUUCCAUCUUAAUACAAUAGCUUGAUGAAUGUUGUUGAUGAAUCCCCAUUUCUUUGUUAGCAUGCUUUCAUGUGUGAUUUUAUUUUAUUUAUCAAUUUUUGGUGUUAUUGGAUCAUUGAGGUUGAAU